AUUCUCCUAUUCUUGAUAUAUUUAAAUUCAUUGAAAUCACAGCUAAAUCGUGGGACUAGUUUUAUAUCACGUGGUCAUGGUAAUGGGUGUAUGGAGUAUGUUAAAGGUGAUUUCUAUUUAAGUGAAUUGAGACAAGAAAUUAAUUAUGUUUGUAAUUGAUUAAAUGAGGAAUUCUAUUAGAAUAUUAGAAUUAAUUACGAUUUUUUUUGGGAUAAAUAUUAUAAUCCACAUGGAAGCUUGUUAAUUGGGAAGAUGGGGUUUUAAAUAUACGCAUGGAACAGAUGGGAUGAUAAUGGCUGUUGAGGUGUAAAGGUCCUAAAAGCCCCAUGCGUCAAAAGGAAUAGAGUGCAUGCGUAGCCUUUUUAUUCCACUUUUGGAGAAUUCACUUUAUGGAACUAAGUACUGCAUAUAUUUAAAAAGGAGCACAACGUAGCAAUUCUUUCUUGGAAGCAAUCUUUCAAGGUAAAUCCGACAAAUUCCUAGACAAAAAAAAAAAUGGACAGUGACGUGAACUUCCAAAUUCAACCAGCAAUGCCCUUCUUAAAUACACAGUAACAACCUUUCGUUUGUGCAACAUAGCAGCUAUUUUGUCCUAAUAAAUAUCAAGUCAAGUUCAAUUCCAUUGACGUGAUGAUACUAAUAUCAAUUUCCUCCGGUGCUGGCAAAUUGAAGAAUUUUUCGAAGUGAAGUAAAGUGGAAAAAGAAUACUUCUUGGUAUAUAAGGCUAAAAGAGCGACGAGACGAACGGGUUACGAAUAGCCGCUAACAGGUAUGUAAAGCGCAACCCUUCUUUCUUUUGGCAUGCCUUAGUUUUCAAUAGGCUAUAUCACGAGCCUCGAGGAAAUUCCAAAUUCGAAAUCCGAGCACGUUAUGAUCCUUAUAUAUAUUUCUUGGCAUUCUUAUGUAUGUUGUGAUGAAGUAUGAACCAUUAUGUCUUCGAAAGCAUUGAUUUCCAAACUUUGUACAAAAAGUUGUUUUAAAGAAUUCCGUAACUACGAAAUGCCAUAUCUUUCGCAUAAAGGCUCGGAUUGCUCCAAUAUUUUUAUAGGAGUUUGCAUGAUGUAUAAUGAGUAUGUUUUCCAUAGGCGGGCCCGUCUCGGGUCAAUACCCGUCCGUGGGUCCCGCGACUUUCCUUGAUGUAAUUCGGACGACUUUUGAAAGAAUUUGGUAUGAUUAUCAUUUCGAAUUUCAAGUAUGGUCAUUUACUUAUAUUUGAGUCUAUGAUAAUGAUUUUAUGCAUAUGGUUACUCAUGACUCUACUCGUGCGUUUUGUUAUAUCUUUCGCCGGUUCCCGGGCCGGUUCUGUUAUCGUGCGCACUUUGAUAUACUCCGGAGUUAUGCUGUGUUUAUGGUUCACCGAGCUACUCGCAAAAGAGGGUCGGGUUCCACCUAUAUUUGGUGUUAUGCUGUGUAUGGCGUUAUGUUGUGAUGUGAUAUGUGACGGGGAUACGGAGAUUUGAAACUUUCUGGUGUUAUGCUGUGUUAUGGCGCCAUCGACGGGUGGGCGACCAUAUUCUUCUGUACCCUAUGCAUUACUUACAUAUUUUUGAAAGUACAGACGCACAGUUUGGUGAUCUACCCAUUUAGGACACCCUUUUCUGCUGUUUGGAGUGCUCUUCUCAUUUCAGAGCACACAUUUUGGUAUAUAUUCGUUCGCUAUGUAUAUAUGUAUUUGUUCAGGGGCACGGCGGGGCCCUGUCCCGCCAUAUGAUUCGGUUUGUCUGUUUAGAGGUCUGUAGACGUAUUUGUGGGUGUGUGUGCCUACUUCUGUACAGAUGUGUUUGUAUGACCCCAUUCGUUAUAGCAGCCUUGUCGGCGUGCACUUUGUAUAUGUUUUGGGCCGUUGCGCCAUCUGUUAGCCUUGUCGGCUUUUGAUACAUUUGAUAGCCUUGCCGGCUUUUUGAUAUAUAUAUAUGUCCGCAUAUGGUUGCGUUGAAA